CCGCGGUCCCCAGAGCCCCGGGAGGCGCCGCCGAGGGGGAGCGGGACCGUGGGGUUGGGGAGCACGGCGAGCCCCGUGCCGGCCGCCCCGCCCCUCCCCGCGUUCUGUGUCCGCGGUCGAGGCGUGUGUCGGGUGGGAGUAUCGCAAAUCGCGAGCUUGAAAGAUAGAAAUGCCCGUUGCGCUGGCUGCGUAGCCAAAAGGAAAGCUCACAGCGGUCGGUGGAGCAGAGGGCUUGGAAGGCGGGGAGCUUAGGGCGCUGCUGGAUGAGUGAAGGAACGCACCGAAGGACGAGGGAGCGUGUGUUCGGCACGUCUGCCCCGAAGACGAGAACGAUGCCCGCAGCGGUCACGGAACGCGGACAUGUCGCCCGCUGCACGGCGAGGGCGGGCUGGGAGGUGGGCGCCCCGAAGUCACACGGCGAGCUCUGCCCGAGAAAUACGCCUGGUGUCCAAAAGCUGAAAGCGUGAAUUACGCUCGUCAUGUGGUCCCUCCAGAGGGACUUUACAGUAGCGAAAUCCGAAGCGACAAGAGCUCUGACUUACUUCAUGCGAGCUUUUAGACAGGAACUUCCCCAAAAGUCCUGGAAAUCAAAGACACGCUUCAGUAGAUAUAUUUGCUGUUCUCAAAACAGUUUCCACGAUGACUAAAAACUGAGAACACUUCGAUAUUUCUGUGGUGCAGAGUAGAUUUAAAAUAGCACCGUCUGUGCCUGUAUUUCCCCACGUACUGCUCUUGUUUCCAGUAAAAUGAGGCAACGGUGUUUCACUUUAAGAGCUUUAAGUCUAAAGCAUUGUCUUCAACUCACAUCAUCCUUCUACUCUUCCACGUUAUUAUUAUCUUUAUAAUUGUCACUGGCACAGUUACAAAUGGAGGGCCUAAUCCUGACUUCAUUGACAUGGACAAGCCUGAUAAAGCCAUUGGGAUUGGGGAUGGGAGAAGAGAUUGAAAACUCAAACUCUAAAAACUGUCUGAAGGCAAACAAAUGUAGAAGACAAGAGGGCUUAUAGGGCAGAAUGAAUCAUGGAGCACUUAAUGUAUGUCUAGUUUUGAACAUGGCAAUAGCGAGUUCAGUCUGACAGUAUCCAACUAAUAAAUGGUUUGCUGGAUGAGAGAAGUAAAUAAUGCCCAAGCACCUUGUUUUUAAAGCAGAUGAAUAGCUGUUCGCUGAUUUGCAUAAAAAUAAUGGAUAGUAUAUGUUUUCUGUCAGUGGAAGCGAGGAAAUGCUUGUGAAUGUUGCAAGUAAUUUCCAGUGGCAUGGUGCAGAGACUAAAAUGUGAGCUAGAGAACAGUGCAUUCCAAGCAGGCAAGCGUUUUAAAAUGUAUGCUUAUGAUACCAUUAAAAAAAAUAUUUGAUGACUUUUGCUCUCGUGUCAAUACUGGAUGUGCUGUUAAAAGUCCAUAAUAAACAUGAGAAAUGCAGAAGAUAACAUUGUGGACAUAAUACUGAAAUCAGAACCAUGAUUUGUUGUGGGUUUCCCUCACUACUUUGUCAUUUCUCUUCAAAGCUGUUUCUACCUUUCACUUGAAAGGAGCUCUUUGAGUUCUGAGUAAAUAGAAAACAUCUCAAGCUCAGAUUACUCAAAUGUUUUGAUAACUUUACAGGAAUUUAAAUGUGAUUAGAAAUUGUCAAGGUAAUUAUUAAAGAUAUCUUUAUGUGCUGUGUCAUUUAAACUGUUCUCACCACUGAGAUUGUAAUUAAUUCCUUUAAUGUCUGUUGGGCUGACACAAUAUAGAACUGUUUUUUUUUGGUUUUUUUUUUUUUUUUUUUUUUUUUUAAACAAAUUGUGUUCCUGGGGCAUGCUCCUGUUCCCCUUGAAGUUAAUAGGAG
rnacentral:lncRNA from 1 species